UAGGGAAUCUUCCGCAAUGGGCGAAAGCCUGACGGAGCAACGCCGCGUGAGUGAUGAAGGUCUUCGGAUCGUAAAACUCUGUUAUUAGGGAAGAACAAAUGUGUAAGUAACUAUGCACGUCUUGACGGUACCUAAUCAGAAAGCCACGGCUAACUACGUGCCAGCAGCCGCGGUAAUACGUAGGUGGCAAGCGUUAUCCGGAAUUAUUGGGCGUAAAGCGGGCGUAGGCGGUUUUUUAAGUCUGAUGUGAAAGCCCACGGGUCAACCGUGGAAGGUCAUUGGAAACUGGAAAACUUGAGUGCAGAAGAGGAAAGUGAAAUUCCAUGUGUAGCAGUGAAAUGCGCAGAGAUAUGGAGGAACACCAGUGGCGAAGGCGACUUUCUGGUCUGUAACUGACGCUGAUGUGCGAAAGCGUGGGGAUCAAACAGG
rnacentral:rRNA from 1 species